UACGUAGGGUGCAAGCGUUAAUCGGAAUUACUGGGCGUAAAGCGUGCGCAGGCGGUUAUGUAAGACAGUUGUGAAAUCCCCGGGCUCAACCUGGGAAUUGCAUCUGUGACUGCAUAGCUAGAGUACGGUAGAGGGGGAUGGAAUUCCGCGUGUAGCAGUGAAAUGCGUAGAUAUGCGGAGGAACACCGAUGGCGAAGGCAAUCCCCUGGACCUGUACUGACGCUCAUGCACGAAAGCGUGGGGAGCGAACAGG
rnacentral:rRNA from 1 species